AUUGAACGCUGGCGGCAGGCCUAACACAUGCAAGUCGAGCGGAGCGGCGGACGGGUGAGUAAUGCCUAGGAAUCUGCCUGGUAGUGGGGGAUAACGUCCGGAAACGGGCGCUAAUACCGAAUACUAUCGGAUGAACCUAGGUCGGAUUAGAUAGUUGGUGGGGUAAAGACCUACCAAGGCGACGAUCCGUAACUGGACGGAGAGGAUGAUCAGUCACACUGGAACGGAGACACGGCCCAGACUCCUACGGGAGGCAGCAGUGGGGAAUAUUGGACAAUGGGCGAAAGCCUGAGCCAGCCAUGCCGCGUGAUUGAGGAAGGUUUUCGGAUCGUAAAACUCGGUUGUCAGGGAGACGGUAUCUGACCAGAAAGCCACGGCUAACUACGUGCCAGCCGCCGCGGUAAUAC
rnacentral:rRNA from 1 species